rnacentral:rRNA from 1 species
CAGCAGCCACGGUAACACGAAGGGGGCUAGCGUUGCUCGGAAUGACUGGGCGUAAAGGGCGCGUAGGCGGCGAUCAAAGUCAGGCGUGAAAUUCCUGGGCUCAACCUGGGGGCUGCGCUUGAUACUUGGUUGCUUGAGUGGGGAAGAGGGUCGUGGAAUUCCCAGUGUAGAGGUGAAAUUCGUAGAUAUUGGGAAGAACACCGGUGGCGAAGGCGGCGACCUGGUCCUUGACUGACGCUGAGGCGCGAAAGCGUGGGGAGCAAACAGGAUUAGAUACCCCUGUAGUCCCUGUCUCUUAUAC